CAGCGCUUGGCUGGCAGGUGUAAGGGCCUGAUACAGUAUGGACAUUGAUGCAAGAUGUUGGGACAAAAAUCACCCAGUGUUUUGAAAAUAAUUUGGAGUAAGAAGCUGCCAGAAGUUUUGACUUCCAAACUGCUCUGAAGCCACUGACGCGCAGAAGCAAGUGUAAACCAUAGCAGAUGGAGGCCAGAUUUUCCUGGCACAGAAGCAGUUCUGUGUGAUUCAAGACAAGAAAGAUAAUGCAGACUAGUUUUGAUAAUAGAAAGCCAAAUUGAGGAGGGCCAGAAUGAGAAGGCUAAAAUCACAAUGGCGGGCUUCUUCCAAGAUUUCCAAAGAGAUGGAACAUUCUUAUCGUUUAGGUUUUCAUGUUAAACAGUAUGUCACAUUGGGUCGACUGUCCUACCCACUCUUUUUUAAAGAAUUGCCUUUUUAAAGUGAAAUUACUAGGAUAUACUAAGUAUGUCCUAGGCGUUGGCCCCUUUGCCCUUUGGAGACAGCCCUGGGAGUAAGUACAGUCCCUCCCUCCAGAACCCCUGUGCUGUAGUAUCCCCGCCAGCUCUCAGCCGCUGCUGAAGACCUGGGUGCAGGCGGGCGGCAGUGGAUCCUAAGGGUGGAGAGGUGCCCUGAGGUGUGGGCGGAAUCCACGCCAGCCAUCUUUCUGAUGGCUCAGAGCCUCCAGGAUAUUUCCUGUGGUCCCCACUCUAAAAGGAAGCUUACUGUGUUAAAGCAGCACAGCUCGGGACGGUGCCGUGGAAGGCUGGGGUUGACCUGGGCCGCCACCACCUCAGCUCCCAGCUGAGACCCUCACCCUCCUCAGAGAGUGGCUGACACAGGGUGAGAUUUCAAGGCUCUGACCACUGUCCUGGACAGAGCCGGCCAGGGCAGCCUUUUUUCCCUACAUUUCUUGGGUUACAAACUUAAGUUUCAGGGAAUUUUGAGUCAACAACAGGUAGAAUGAAUAAACUCUUGGUUACCAGCCUAAUAAUGUGAAUUGCUACAGAAUUAUUCUUAUUAUGUAAGAAAACAAAGACUUUAUGCAGAUACUUUAGCUAUAAAUUGGUGUAAAAUACUGAUUUUUUUAAAGGAAGGGGCGAACAAUAUCUUGUUCACUUAUUAUGCAAUCAAUCAGUAAAUGUUUCUAAGAGCUACUGUACAAGAGCUAGUUCUGAGAGCUCGUGGAUGGGCCAGCCUGGCGUGGUUAGGAGAGAGCACGCUGGUGCCUCCGGGGGAGCCGGAGCAGGAAUCUGCGCACUUGGCGAUUCCUUGGUGACAGUGCAAUGGGUACGGGCAGCAUUUGCUUUCAGAGCCAAGGGGACUUGAUGGCUAUAAACUAAGUUGCUUUUAGGGAUGGAGUUUAUAGACAGAUCAUGUUGUUCCGAAAGAUGUGAAUAGGAUCCAUGGUAGCAAGCUGAUUCAGGAUAAUGUAGAUACAUAGACUAGCGAGUGUUGAUCAUUUGAUUUCUUAGACUGUGGUUUUAAUUGAAUUUCAUUAUGUCUCCCGGUAAUCCACAGAAUGUCGGGAUUAGGAAAUUAGCCAUUUCGGAUUCUGCCUGCCACAAACAGACCUAUUCUAAACAGUGCUAUUAAAUUUUAGACUGUUCAAAUAUUUUAUUUUCUCCAACAACUUUUUAUUAUGAACAAUUAAGACCAUUUCAAAACACGGGAGUACAAGUAUUUUUUUGAAUUAAAUUAACUUACAAGAACCAAAUUUGCAGUGGUUGGGUUGUUUCUAGACAGACUUUGGUAUCAAUUUAAAACCAAGAUAAUUUUUAUAUUCUUUCCAAUAGAGUUUCAUGACAACUUCUGCGAUUUUCUUAACCUACAAAAAAAAAAAAGUGCUGCGAUGAUGAACAAAGAAUUAUACAAAACCUACUUUUGUAUCUUUAUUUUGGGAUUUCUUGUUCUAUUAUAAAUAUGGAAGUAUCCCUAUUUCAGAAGACAUAUUUUGUUAAAAAUGAAUUGUACAUAUUUAAAUAUGUAUUUUUGCACAGGUCUUUUUUUCUGAUAUCCUGUUUUGGUACAAUUGAGAUCAUCUAGUAUUUAUUUAUUAAUUAAUAAAAGUAAAUACCUUUUUAUAAUUUGAAGUGGUUCACUGCCAAGCCAGUAGUUCUAGAACCUGCCUCCUCUGCGGUCUAAGGGAUGCCUCUGCUCUGUGAACGUGUUUGUCCCGUUUUGCGUCCCGGAAGUGGAUCUGCGCAGAUGAAGUGGGCAUCGCGUCUCCCUCGCUGCCUGAGUUCCCAGUAGACUACAUGUAACUUAAGUGACACACUGCUUUCUUUUGUUAGUGUUGUGCGUGCGUGCGAGCGUGUGUGCUGUGUGUGCCUGUGUGUGCACUCCAAGCACGUGUAUGUUACAAGUAUGUGAUACGAUUUAAAACUAACAGAAAAAACUGAAAGUGCCUGAACCUAGUUUUAAGCUUAGACAGAUUCUCUUUAAAAAGACUUGAAUGUUCCGUUGAACUUUUGGAGUUUGCUUUUUCCACCUAAAUAUUGUUUCUAAAAUUUUAGGGGGCAGAAGUUGAAAACCACCAGUGCUGGUAAUUUAUAGGUAUUUGCAACUCUGAUCUUGCAGGCCACAGCACCUAGCUGCUGACGGCUUGCCAGGGGCACCUGGGUCCCAGAUCUCGCCAGCCAGCAGCAUACAUGUGUCUGUUCUGUUACUCAUGAAAUAGAAUUUAAAAGAGAAUAUUUAAAAUAUUUGUAUUCCAAAAAUAUAAUACAAAGUACCUCUAAGAACAUUGAAAAAAAAGCAUAAUUUGAAAAAUGUAACUUAUAAAGGCAGCUGUCUUCCUGCAAGAGAGUUCUGUUGCCAAGGAAUUUCUUCCUGUCUCAUUCUGUCCUGGGGUGUGGGGUGGGCUUUGAAAAAUAAUUGUUAAAUGUUUCAUUGUUUAGAAGAAAAUAACUUUUACAUUUUGUGCAAAACAUUUUGCAUUGUCAGAUCAUUAGAUGAACACUACAUCCUGUCAGUGUGAAUGCAGGGCCUUUGAAAGCGUUUUGCUGUUUCCGAGCUUGGUUCUAAAAGCAAUCUCCUGUGUUGAAAUGUGUGAAUAGUUUGAUAAUUUGUACACAUAAUCAAGAGCAUCUCAGCUGGACUUGUGUUGGCUGCUGUAUAGAACAUGAACAAAUGUCAAGGGAUAGAAAAUUACUUUGGAUAUUUAAAAGAGAAGAAAUAUAUAGUCUAUUUGUUUUGUAACAAGUUUCUGUAAAUAAAAUAAUUUAUACUAUUUAUAAGAAAAA